CCUACGGGAGGCAGCAGUGAGGAAUAUUGGUCAAUGGGCGCGAGCCCGAACCAGCCAAGUCGCGUGAGGGAAGACGGCCCUACGGGUUGUAAACCUCUUUUGCCGGGGAGCAACGGGCGCCACGUGUGGCGCCACUGAGAGUACCCGGAGACAAAGCAUCGGCUAACUCCGUGCCAGCAGCCGCGGUAAUACGGAGGAUGCGAGCGUUAUCCGGAUUUAUUGGGUUUAAUGGGUGCGUAGGCGGAGCAUUAGGUCAGUGGUAAAAUUGAGGGGCUCAACCCCUUCCCGCCAUUGAAACUGGCGCUCUUGAGUGGAAGAGAGGUAGGCGGAAUGCGUGGUGUAGCGGUGAAAUGCAUAGAUAUCACGCAGAACCCCGAUUGCGAAGGCAGCAUGCCGGAUUCCGACUGACGCUGAAGCACGAAAGCGUGGGGAUCGAACAGGAUUAGAUACCCCAGUAGUC
rnacentral:rRNA from 1 species